rnacentral:lncRNA from 1 species
UCUUAGAUAAAGUAUGAUGAGUGUCCAAUAUAAGACUCGAUAAACGAUUAGUCUACAGAACAAAAAAAAAUUAACAAUACAUUAUAGAUCAUAAAACAAAGAUAUAAUGUAGCUAUAUAAAAUAUUUUGCAUUAAUGAUGAGAAGUAAAAUGAAGACUUAAUGAAUUAAAAUUGAAUAUAAGAUUGAUAUAAGACAUAAUUUUCGAAGCCUUACCAACAUGCGUACAGUAGAACUCUUACCCUUAUAUCCUGAAACUGCAUACCGAGACUGC